CAGGUGGUCAUUUCUAUUCGGGCACAGUGACGGACUUCCAGGCGAGUGACGCAGUGAUCUACAAGAGUUUGGGUGGAGAGGGGCGACCCGUCCUGCGGACCGUCAAAUACGACUCCAAAUGGCUCAGAGAGCCUCACUUCCUGCAUGCUGUCGAAUACGGCAACUACGUGUAUUUCUUCUUCAGUGAGAUCGCAGUG